AUUGAACGCUGGCGGCAUGCCUAACACAUGCAAGUCGAACGAGUGGCGGACGGGUGAGUAAUAUAUGGGAAACUGCCUGAUGGAGGGGGAUAACUACUGGAAACAGUAGCUAAUACCGCAUACCAUCGGAUGUGCCCAUAUGGGAUUAGCUAGUAGGUGGGGUAAAGGCUCACCUAGGCGACGAUCCCUAGCUGGUCUGAGAGGAUGACAGGCCACACUGGAACUGAGACACGGUCCAGACUCCUACGGGAGGCAGCAGUGGGGAAUAUUGCACAAUGGGCGCAAGCCUGAUGCAGCCAUGCCGCGUGUAUGAAGAAGGCCUUCGGGUUGUAAAGUACUUUCAGCGGGGAGGCGUUACCCGCAGAAGAAGCACCGGCUAACUCCGUGCCAGCAGCCGCGGUAAUAC
rnacentral:rRNA from 1 species